CCAGCCUGCUGCUGGUGUUACGUUUUUAAAUUUAGCGCCAGGCGAGGGGCUCUGAAUGCCAGCGCGGGGCCGCCGGCAACUGGAAGGGGCCGCGGCCUCUCCCUCGCAGCUCCGCUAGUGGUGCCUAAACAAUGAUAUCCUGAUUCGCUUUUGGUAAAUCUUAAUUACUUUUACCAACAGUCUCUACAAUUAAGAGGCUUAAGGAGACAGGCAUUACUAAAAUCAAAGCUGUUCAUAUCUGCUGCUUUCUCACUAGUGAGUGAUUUCUGUGAAAGCUUGGCAAAUGUCUCAUGAGCUCCCGCUAAGGAUGCAACUACCAAAGGCAAGAUCAAGAGACAAAUGAGCACCACCUCCCCCAGCGCCAUGUUCCCCUGCCCGGGAAACACCACCUGCUUCCUAUGUGGCUGGAGGGGUGGGGGCUCUGCACAGCAGCGAAGAUGCUAGAGAUUACAGGCAGAUAUUUUGCAAAUAAUCUUUUUUAAAGUUAUUGAUUCAUAUGAGUGAAAUAUAAGAUUUAUGUUAAUCCUAUUCCUUAAAUCAGAAAUCUCUAAUGUUAUACUGUUUUAUGCAGUAGGUAAUUUACAUUAAGAAAAAGGAUUAAAAAAAACUAAUACGAAAGUUUGUGGAUCAUCCUAUCCCAACCCACUUUCUUUCUGGUCACCCCUGACUGGUCACCUCAACCUUCUGCUUUCUUAUGCUGCCAUUUGCGACAGGCAUGACAUUAUAUCAGCUCUCUCUUUCUCUUUGUUCAGAACAAAAUCCCUUUUAUAGUAAAGUGGAGAAAAUUCUCGAUGCCAUGAAUGCUGAGUGAGACUCAAAUACAAAGGCCCUGCAAUCACAUUUCCCCCAUAAUUAAUUAUGUAAUUAUAAAGCUUUGUCAAGCCAUUGUAUUCCCCCUCAAAUAUAUUUUAAAUAAUUUUAAAGCUUUUGUUUCUAUACCCCUGACAAUAAUGAUAAAACACCCUUACCUCUCCUAUUUCUACAUGUCUAUCACCUUUUUAAUAAUACUCUUGAUAAAAACAUGAGAUCACUGAUAUUAAAGUAGAAAGGUCUUGCAGCUUUUUUCCUAUUUACUUUGAUUUGUGGAACUCUAAUUUGAUUGUGGGCAUCCUUUAUACAGCUUGUUCCACCCUCUCCUGUGGAGCUGUACCAGCUGUGACUCCUGUUUUAAGAACUAUGUUCUCUUCUCUGUUGCAGACCUAUGUUAUAUUUGCCUUAGUGCAUGGGCUGCUGGUCCAUGCUAAUAGCUGGCUCUCAGGGGAAAAAGAAAAGCCAUCUGUGGCAUCUGCCGAUUUCUGUGGUGUAAAUACUCUCAGCUCUGCCAAUUUCAAGCCAUCAAUUUGACAUUGCUGAACCCAAAGUUGGCAAGGGGUGUGCACCAUUGGCUUUUGUGAGCAAGCUUCUGCAAAAGACUUGAGACAACUCACGAUGAAGUGCUCUGUAUCAGUCAGGGUGAUAUUGAUUGCAAGUGACAGAAACCCAAUCAGAAACUCACUGGAGUCAUGAGGAACACUUAUGGGCUCAGAUAACCUAACCAUUGGAUGGGCAGGGAUGUAUCUGGUUUGGAAGCAAAUAGUACCAGGUGCUGAAAGUAGCUGUCUCAGACUCUGGUCUGUCUGUCUGUCUGUGUCACAUUCUUUCACACCUUGGAGGUUGUGGCCAUCUGGCUUAUCACUGGUCAGGAAGAUGCCUCCUUCAAUAGUUCUUUGAUUUCAAUUUGAAAUAAUGCUAGUCAAAGACUCUGGUCUUCGGCAAACACCAUGGCAAUGGUCUGAGAGUGGCAGAAAGCAGAGGUUGACUGCAUUAAUAAAAUGACAAGGUUGGGUUGGGACAGGUGGGGAGAAGGGUUUAUCUAAAAGAAGGUGCUGCUGCUACCAGAAGAGGGAGUGUUUGGGCUGGGGGGACAAAAUAAAAGAUGUCCACAACAGAUAUAUAAAUAGAAUCAUUAGAUAAAGCGGGAUGGGAUGGAAAUGAGCAGGGUUUGUUGUGUAAGAAAACCUAAAUUAAUUAUGGUAGCUUCAGUUUAGCUCUCACCUAUGUGAAAGUCAAGGUAACACAGAGAAACCUAUCAUUUAUAAACAAAAGGAAGCAAACAUUCGCCUAUGUGUAAACUGUACUAUGAUACUAAAAUAGGUUUACAGGAGUCGUUCAGUGGACAACAUCUUCCAUAGUGAUUUUCAAAAACGAUGCAAACAAUUUUUAUUCUGUCAUAUCUUAUGUCAAAAAAUUAUAUUUAGAGCAUAAUAUUAGCUCAUAUUUCUUUUAAGUCUUCAUGGUGUAUUUAGGAUGAUAAAUAAGGUAUAUCUGGGGAGAUAAAUUCAGGUAUAUAGCUUUCAGAUGACCAAAUCUAUUAGCACAUCCAAUUAAUGGACUAUUCAUGAUACCACAUUUUUAUCAAUGUGUAAAGGUUAUGUUUGCUCUCAUUUUGAACCUUUUGUUCGUGUAGAAGACUGGAAUGAUCAUAUUAUGUGACACUGUGUUGAAGAGAGUCACUGAGAAAGAGGUAACGUCAAGUUACAGGGAAAGUAAGAAAGGCUGGAACACACUGGGACUCUGCCGUAAACAUAAAAGACAGGCAUUCAGAACAGUAAAGAAUUGUACUCAAAUUGCUCGAGUACAAACUGUGUGACACUGUGGAACUGUGUUAGGGAAACCAAAUAGUGUAUUCAUUGGCAAUGUCUUUUAUGGAUACCAGGAGAUAUUGUUAGUCAGCUAUAGUGCAAUUAUUGUUGAUUUGUUUGGUGUAUUCUUAAUUCAUUGAAUCUUUUGAAUUGUGCUACUCCAAGUUCUAGUAAAUACUAGAAUGUAUUUACUACUCAAGUAUUCCAGUAAAUACUAGAAAGUAU